CAAGGAAAGAGUUUUGUAUAAUUUUUUGUUUUAUUUUAUUAAUUUCACCAAAAUCCUUUCUAUUAUGUGUUUUGACUUAUUUUUAUGAUUAUUUUUAUGUUAUGUCAACAUUAUUUAACAUUGUUUUCAGAAUGAGGUAACCUUAUUUAUUAAUUUUGGCUUCACAUUUUAUGGUUAUUUUAUUCUCAUAGUCAGCACUUUUAUUUUGAAGUUCCAUGAUGUCGGUUGUGAUGUCAGAUCCGCCUCUCCUCAGUGAUCGUUAACCUGAUGGAGAGCGGUAAGUGUUUGAAAUAGCUUAAACUAAAAAGUUCAUUUUUUAAGUUUUAAGUGUAGUUGGAAGCAGUUAAAUUUGAGAAUAUUGGUCUGUGAUGUGUUUGUAAAGGUUUUAGGUCAUGUAUGGUUUGUUGUUCAUCUGCACGUUGAACGAAGAGAGCAAGCUAGCUUGCCGGAGCUCUCCCUGUGGGUGUGUGUGUGGGUGCGGAGGGGUGCGUCUAAGCGCACAUGUUAAUUCAUCUCUCCUUAUCUUUGUUUCUUUGUUUUUGUGUGUUAGGUAGCCGGUCGUGGAAAUGUGUAAACGCUCACACUCAGAAUGUCACAUUACAGAUUGUGGGGAACAGAAUAAAGAAAAUUCACGUGGCAGCAUC